rnacentral:tRNA from 1 species
GGCGACGUAGCCAAGUGGUAAGGCCGGGCUCUGCAAAAGCCUUAUUCGCCGGUUCGAUUCCGGCCGUCGCCU